AGGGAAUUUUGCGCAAUGGACGAAAGUCUGACGCAGCGACGCCGCGUGAGGGAUGACGGCCUUCGGGUUGUAAACCUCUGUUGAGUGGGAAGAAAGUGCUUGUUGCUAAUAUCAGCAAGUUUUGACGGUACCACUCGAGGAAGCCCCGGCUAACUACGUGCCAGCAGCCGCGGUAAUACGUAGGGGGCAAGCGUUGUUCGGAAUCACUGGGCGUAAAGGGAGUGUAGGCGGGAAGGUAAGUUAGAAGUUAAAGACUCAGGCUUAACUUGAGGAAUGCUUUUAAUACUGCUUUUCUUGAGUAUGGGAGAGGGUGAUGGAAUUCAAGGUGUAGCGGUGGAAUGCGUAGAUAUCUUGAAGAACACCAGUUGCGAAGGCGGUCACCUGGCCCAAUACUGACGCUGAGGCUCGAAAGCUAGGGGAGCAAAC
rnacentral:rRNA from 1 species